GUGCGGCUGUAACAAUCAAAUAGAAUUUUUAAAUGUUUGCUUACGUAUAGUUAAGUAUUUGUUAAUCUAUUAAUAUUCAAAGUUUUGAAUACAUAAGGUGAUUGAACACGCGGUACUGCGUGAGCAGCGGCAAGUGUGUUAACUACCUAUUUAAAUUUAUAUUUGUUGAACAGUCGGUAAAGUAAAGAUUAUUAGAUGAUAAAAUCUACGUUUAUGCAGGUAACGUCAAUUUUUAUUUACAAUGAUCCUUAUUGAUUUUUGUAUAAAAUAUCAAGUUUCUAGAAAACAUAAAAUCUCUGUAAUUAUUGCUUAUGAAGAGAAUUUCCUUCAGAAAUGGAAAUAUAGACCGAAGCACGGUAAAUAGCCGAGAAAGCGGUCAUUGCCAGUCUUGGGUCAUUGCUAUAGGAGGAGAAAGCUUAUAGGUAAUCAGGUUUUUUACAAUACUAUUCUUCAAAAGUAAAUUACGAAUGUCCAUCAAAGUAACGAAACCAGUCUAACUUGAGGGAAGUGAAAUCUGAAAGAAUGUACUUUUGCAUAACAUGAUUAACAAGAAGGAAACAAUGAGAGACAGUAGUGAAAGGUUAAGUUUAACGAGGUCAACGACUGACAAUAUAAACAAGCUCAACGAAUGACACGCCGACGAGAUUGACGCGUUUGAAAUGGCUGAGAAGCGUGGGUUUAAUCGUACACGGAAGGAAGUCUGUAUUUUAUAAGAAUUACAAUCAUAAGAACUUCAGGUGUAUUAGAUGCAUAUAUCGAUUUUUCAUGAUUGUUCGUUAUUGAAGUUUACGGAUUAAGUCAGUAAUAAUAUCACGUACUUUUCCUGAAUUAAUAGGUUAAUAGGUACAUCCGAGUUUUAUUGUCGCUGCGUGUUGCGACGAUUCCUCUGACGAGUAACGUUACCACGAAGCAGAAGUUCGCUGCGUCGUAUGCCACCGUUAUCAGUCAUCAACCUAAUUGCAAUUGACUUGCACUAUAUGUUGGAGACUGUGGUCGUGCAAUGAAAAAACCACCGUGUAUACCAGUGGGGAAAACGAAGUCAAUCUGCGAAAUCGAGUAUGUAAUCAGUCGCGUAGACGGAUUGAAAUCGUCCAUUUAACGUAUUUGAGAUCGACGUCGCGUCGUGUACGUCCUGCACUAUUCAAUGCAAUCAACGAUGCAUCUUGUAAAGGAAUGCCGGCCCGGUAUUCAAAAAAUUGAUAAAAAAUGAACAUUGACGUUGAUUUGAAAUCAGGUAAAACGCUGAAUACUCUAAUGGAAAACAAAACUAUAAUAUUCCUAUUUGAAGAAAAAUAAUUUUUAUUUAAUACGAGUUUCUUUUAUUUUAAUUUAGAUUUUCUAAAGUAUAUUUUAAAAUGAAAAACCAGGAAGGGUUAAAUGUAGCUAGUGGAGCAUAUAAUCAGAGAUGAAAUUAUUAUUAUCUAUUCAAGAGUUACUCUUGAUCUUUUGGAUAAGAUCUGACUGACAGGAUGAUAAUAUCUUGAAGAUUGAAUCUACUUAAAGACAAGGCUGAUUUAGCCCGCUCCCAUUGCAUGGAUUUUUGUCCGACCAAAAAAUUGGCGGAACCGUUCGCUUUCUCAUAGUCGUAUUUUCGUGACCUUGACUUUUUCGACGUUACCAUUUGACGUCAAAAUCGAUGUGUAGACGCGGUUUCCAUGUGCAUCGAAACACGUGGGUGGUGAUUGCACCAAGGGCGUACCGGUGAUAGGUUUGCACCGAGGUUAAGAGAUGAAAGACUUCCCAAUCGUUCGUUAAAUGUCGGCAACACCUGAUAUCGUGGAGCAAUUAACUCGGUAACAAUAGUUGGCAAAGGAUCUGAAAGUAUUUUCGAGCGAACUUCGAAACUUACUUUUAUGUAUAGGGUGGAACAGUUGAAAUUAGUAUCUCUGUCAUUAUUUUUAGCUGAGAACAAUUUCUACCAAUAUACGGUUCCCUUCCAAAAGAAGAAAAACUUUGUUUGAUCAGAAAGCAACGUUUGUUUGACAAUUCUGUAUUCACAGUCGUUGUUUGCCUAUCCCUGGAGAAAGUUUUUCCUAAAACUUCGCUUUUUAUCUUCACUGGAAAGUUACCGUUCCCUCUCGUUCCAAUUAAAUCUGAAACUUUCGCGUAGUAAAUCGAGCAUUAAAAAAGAAAAAAAAAAAGAUGCGAGUAAUAAGAGAGACGCAUAGAUCCAUUGUUGAUAAUCAGUUAUAUACAGUGCACUUUCACUGUACAACUCCACUCACGAUCAGAAACUAAAUAUCUUAGGAAAGGAUUAAUUUUUAUAAUUAAUAUAUCAGUUUUACUGAUUGAUGCUCAUUCGAUAAACACUCACUGGCGAUUUGCAGGCCCAGCAUUAACAUGAAGCCAACAAUUAUGGCGGUCAGCUGUAGGAGGCCACUUUUCUCGUUAGCUCUUUCGCGUGCGAGCACCUCGAAGAAAACCACGUAGAGCAACGUUCCGGCUGCCAUUCCUUGGAGUAUCGUCGGCGUUGGUCCCAAGUUUCCGCUGUCGUUCUUGAAAUAGUCGAGAGCUAAUCCUACAGCGAUACCAAUGGGAGUGACCAUGGAAAAUAUCGUCAGGUAGCUAAGAGUUGUCCUGGUGGAUGCACCAGCGACGUAUAAUUCCAUUCCAACGCAAAAUGAGAUGACCAGUUUGUGCGUGGCUAUAGCUGCAGCUAGAUAAACCACAGAACCGAUAGAGGGUUCUAGUCCAACAGCUAGACCCUCGAAGAUGGCAUGGAAAGAGAGAGCUAGAACGGUCAACAGACCCUGAAUCGAGGUAUUUUUCGUCACAGGGACGUGCUUAUGUUCGUGUUGCUUCGUCCUGGGGUAUUGGUUCAGAUUUGUAUCAGAAGGGUAUCUCACAUUCUCUGGACUGUGUUCAUCAGAGGAUAACCCCGUUGGAGAAGACAGGACGAAUAUAGCUGGUAGACCUGGUCGUAGUGGACAUCGUGGUCGUUGAACCUGUCGACGCAGUCGUCGAUGCACCUGGUUGAUUGUUGCAUCUGCGUACAGAGACUGUCCUAUAUAAGAGAGCCUCCGAAGACUCGGGUUUUCCGGUCAACGCUGCGUGCACCGCCUCCUCAACGAGGUAAACGAGGAAGAAUCCAGCGCAGAACAGUAAUUCAGACAAACUAAGCGUGCCUAAGGUUGGCAGUUGAUCGUUCUUCUGGUGUCUCUCCACGCUGACGCGAACUUCCGGUGCUAAAUGCAGGAACGUGGUGAAUAAGAGGACCCCUCCUCCGAAGCAAAGUAACAACGACGUUUGCAGGCCCUGGGGGGGGAUUAUAAGUUAUCUUCGAAUUUCUCUAUCAUUCUUAUCGAACAUAGUUACCCAGUCGUUCCUCGAAAGAAAGCACGGCUUAAAAUUGGGACAAUCGUUGCUGCCUUCGAUGAGUUUAUCUUGUGUAAAUGUUAACUCACUUUGUACAAGAGGACAUAAGAAUUUUGUUUUUCUACAAUUUACUUCGUUUCAUUCGUUCUAGAAGAUGUAAUUUUAGAGGAACGACUGCUGAAUGUUCGAUAAAUUUAUUUUAACCCUCAAUUGGCCGGAUUACUGAUAAGCAACCGAUUAAAUGUUGACACAUUUGGUCGGUAGUUUGUAUUUUGUACGGGCAAGACGUGACGUUUAGUUUAAACAGUUAACAAAUUUGUUAUCUUUAAUGAUUCAUUUAUGAUCUAAUGGAGAUAAUAAAAUUUAGGUAUGCUACCUAUUCGAGUUUCAGGUGAACGGGAUCAAAAGGAAUGAUUCGAGAGAAGAAUAUGAAUUAUUUUGAUUUAGUCGUACCAGUUGAGGAUUAAAUUGUUGAACAUUUCUGAUGUUGUUUGGCGAUAGCUUCGUACAUCGGAAACGUACUUGCGAAUCUGUUGCAGAUCCGGAGAAAACGGUAGAAGAGGAAGCGUUCGAAACCGAGGUCGAAGUGCAAGUGCUGGAAUUGCUGGAAAUUCCCCGGUGUCGUUUUUGGCGAUGGUUGAUUCUGUAUCGUCCUACUAUCAACGGUAACAUUCCCAGGAUCAAGGAACCGAAACCAAGACCAAUCAUUGCUCCUAUCUUUGCUAUUAAUAAAAUUGUGGAAGUCGUUGGUUCUUCCAUGUUUUUUUUUUCCUUUUAUUAUUCACUUCAGAAGGUAAAUUUAUAUUCAACCAAAGAGCUUUGGUUCAAUUUCUCUUUAAAAGAAAGAACAAUAUUCAAAUUUAUCUCUUUUUCACAUCACUUAAUAACAUCCUUUUUUUCCAGUAUCAUCACAAGUCCUCUCAUCCUUCACACCGUGCUCAACAUUUACUCUAGAUUCUUCAGGCGUCUUCCACUUCUCCCUUCACUCGUUUGAGAUGGCCACUUUAUCACUUAGCACAAGCCAAACAAUUUCGAAACGGUCCGGCAAUGAAUUAAGGUAUCUCCGAUCACUUACAUUCAUUAACGUUCGUUCAUUGACGCUAGAUUAGUAUUCUUAUCAAAAGAAUUUUUAGACAGAUUCUUCGAGUGACUCAAUCCGGAACCAGAGCCUUUAUCAACGAUCUACCGUCCUAUUCAUCUCGUUCUUUUUUACGCUGUGCAACGAUCAAGAUUGAAAUGAUUUAGCGAAUGUGAAACCACGGGAAAUCGCGCGUCCUGGAUCCAAGCCAGUGGAACCGUAUACGAACUCGACGAGUCUGUUUGGUAACCUGUCGGCGAACGGGCGGCUGAUAGGAGCCGCGGAUACAUAGCUACGUGCAUGGAGGAGAAUGAAUGAUUGGCAAGCACCGCGUGCCUGGACUGAUGGUAGGAGACGAUCGAUCGUUCUUCAUUGAUCGAUCGAUCGGUUGCAUACUUGCGCUGCUUUCUGCCAGUUCAAACGAUGCGUAAUGCUUGUUAUUUUCUCUUCUCUUUAUCGUUUAGCAAGCCGACUGCCUUGUCACCUGAACGUUCCUGACGUAUGAAUCCCCGGCAGAGAUCUGUUAAGCUGAUGGUUAUUAAUCCUUCUUGACCAUGCAUAACUAGAAUUCCAGGGCAUUGCAAUUCUGUUUACCGAAAUGAUCUACAAUUGACGAGAAACUUGCGAUAUGGCGCAAUGCAGGUCACUUUCAAUUUCUAAUCUAGUUCACUGCACCGUUUUCACUUGAAACGGAGUUAAAAAGGCGAACCAUCGCCGCUUUACAGUAGACGAAAAUAAUAUUCCAAUAAUUUUAGUCUGACGGUACUUGAGAAACCAGUUCUUCAAGAGGACACCUAGGUUUUACAGUUAAUAAUUCAAUCGAUUUUCAGUUCCACCUCGAUCAGACAUGGUUCUGAGUAAAUGGGUGAAGCUGAUUUAAUGGUGAAAGGCGGCUCGAUCAUUCAACGUGGAGUUGAAUCAUUGGCGCAGAAAAAUGUUCCCGUUUUGUUACUUUAUGAGUUACCUUAAAUAAUGUAAAAUCGAAGUCAGCUUUUCCUUCUCUAAGAGAUCCACGCUGUGUCGGUUUUGACGUGAAACGUAGACUAUCGAGUGUUUCAACGUAAGUCGAAAGUAAAUUUUGUACUUACUGAGUAUCUGGAGUACAAACAUCACAGCGAAUCCAACCAAAAUGGACAAAUACUGUUUGAGGCCGCUUCUAUGCUCUUGAAGGAUCUCGAAGAACACUACGUAUAGUAAUGUACCAGAAGCCAGACCCUGUAACGUUCAAAAUACAAAAAUUAUUGUAUUAUGUUUGAAUAUUACAAAUUUUUCUUUCAUUCUUUUAAUACGAAAUAGCUGGUUAUCAGUUAUAGCAACCUAUGGAUAAGAGUUAAAUUAAUAGAUUUUCCUUAAUGGUUUUCAGCGAAGCCUAUUGAUAAUUUAAUGCAGCAUUUAGAGAAAGCAGAGCUAAUGAAGCAGAACCGGAAGUAUGCCAUUCGCAGCCGCGCUUUCGCCACCAACCAGUAACAUUCCUAUGCCGAUUCCUAAAGGAGAAACGACCGCAAAUGUGCAGACAUAAAUCACCGAAAGAUACGUUCUGGUGUUCGAAGCGAUUAAUUCCACGCCAAUGCAAAACGCUAUGACAAAUUUAUGAGCCGCCACUGCUGCAAACAUAUACCUGAAAAUGAAAACAGAGAUUUUUUAUUAUGAAUCCAUAAAUAUUGAGUAGAUUUCGACUGUUCGUUUAUCAAAAAGCAAACGCACCAAACGAACGAGGCUGAGCUUUCCAGUCCAAUCGCGAGUCCUUCGAAUAAUUCAUGCACGGAUAAACCCAGAACUAUUAAUAAUCCUCGUAGAGAACUUAUGACGAAGUCGUCUUUCUCGUCCAUUAUGACUGGCAAGUGAUGCGAAUGCCCGUUACUGCAACAAUGAAUUGUGAAUGCCCAUUUUCGACUAAUUCGUUGGUGCUACGGUUGACAUCCUUCUUCGAGAAAUCGUCCUUGAUGGAUUGCUUCUUCCUCAAAUGCGUGUGCACCGAUUCUUCCACUAAAUACAUUAAGAAGAACCUAGAUAGCUUCAUGAUAAGAAAGCGAUCUCGGAUCAGAUAAUCUUCACUUACCCAGCGCACGUAAGUGUUUCAGCUAAUGAAAAGCUGAGUUCAGGAAGUUUCUUUUCUUCGAUAAGAUGUUCUACCCCUUCUUUUACUUCUGGCAGUAGAUGAAGAAACGUUGUACAGAAAAGAACGCCGCCACCGAAUCCCAAAAACAAGAUUACAUCACACAGAUAGCCUUUGCAAUUAUUACAACACGAAACUGAAUGCAUUAUGAUCGUCGUAGUGAUAGUAGAAUCCGCAAACUUUAGAAGCUCGAGGUGUUUGCUUUCAAUAUAUGCACGUGACCUGCUUUCAAAUGGUUUAUCAAUUUGAUCAACUAUGAAGCAUUUUGCCAUUUGCAUUGGUAGAAUCCCCAUGCAUGUACUGACUGCGCAUAAAAUGAUCAUAGUAACUCCUUUUGCAACCAAUACAUCGUAUACAUCUUCCUCUUCAUGAUGAUGAUCUUCUUCAUCAUUAUGGAAAUGAUCAGUAGUGAUCAAUCUUUCCAUAAGAGAGUUAUCUUCUGAUGGCAUCAUUGUUCCUUUUAUCAACAGUCGGGAGGUUCUGGAAAGAAUAAACAGAUGAUUAAUCAUCGUGAUUCAUGAUGACACCAUUUGGAUGAUGUUUAUUGAAAAUUACAGUAUCCUCGCUAACUUUAUUCUCUUCAGAAAACGAAGACUUCUUUUUUACCAAUGUAAGAUCUGAUAUGUGCUUUUGUUUUUUAGAGAAUUAGCCAAUUCUUAGAAAUUUAUAGCUAAUUGUAACUGUGCCAGUAACACGAGUAUGUCUGUGAAUAUCAAAUAUGAAGAUAUCGAAUCAGGAGAUGAUUAAGUAUCUCUUGAAAUUGUUUAAUUACAGAACUCGAUAUGAACAUCAAUUACAUGUACAGCAGACAGUAUUUGAACGAACAAUACAAGCAUUCUAUAAUAUUAUCAUCGCUCUUUGUUGGAAUGUGCAGAUGCUACGAAAAACUUGCUUCACACAGACAGUUAUUGAAUUACCACCGUGAUUACAUGAAAUCAACAUCAACUAACAUUUUAGUGUCAGAUAAGCAUCAUCUGGGGUGAACGCAUUAAGAAUGAAAAUUUUUAAGGGCAAUGGUGCUAUGCUUGAGCGAGCUCCUUUCACGUUCGCUUUCGACGAAAACCAAGUGGCUUGACUGAUCGUUAAAAACAGGAACAGUACAAAGGAGAAGCAGGAAUGGAUGGUACUACGUAGUACCGGAGCUUGGGUGCAGUGAAAGUAUGUUCGCAAUGCUCCUUUGAAAAAACAAAGAGGGGAGAAAUGACUUUUGCGUUUUUGCGUUUAUCCAAGGUAAACUACAACCGUUUGAGAUAGUCAGCAAUCGAUUCCAGCAAUCGAAAUUGAAGUUUUACUAUUUAAACAACUUAAAACAUUAAUCUUCGAUCGAUAUCUCAUGUUCGAAAAAUAUAUAAUUCUAAUGUUAUCUAUAACAAGAUUAGGAAUCUACAUAUAACAAGAACUCACGUUUGGAAUGCGCCCCCUUUUUCUUGGAUCUAACGUUCAGGGAAGAAAGAAGCAAUUAUGGUUGGCAGCGAAAUGCUGUAACGUUUGACGACUGGAAGAAACUAAGAUCACUGGUUGGUCGGCCAACGUAUCCACCACUUGUAUACGUAUUUGCGAAACCUGUUUCGUUCGACAUUAUCGACCAAAUCUGGACGCAGAGAAUCCAGAUCGGCAAUACACUAGAUCAGAGGAUUUAAGGUCGAAAUAAGUGUACACUGGCUGGAGUGAAAGGGUUUAAAUCAUUCGUCUUUACUUAACUCUUUGAACUCCAGAGAUGAUUCUCACUUGCUACUUGUUAGUUUAAUACAUCAACUCUACUUGGCGACUUUUUAACCGACUUCAAAAGAGGAGAAGGUUACUCAAUUCGAUCAGUAUAUUUUUUUGUUUCGGUACUUUCACUUAAUAAUACUUCACGUGUACGAUUUUUUAUACGCAUUAGACGGUGUGAAUUAGACAUCCUUCAAUACAUUGAUUAGAUAAACAUCUAUAGAUUAAUUUCAGCCUAUGUAACCACUUUUUGGAAAAUUCGUUUGCUAAAUGCCUGGGGAUUAAUCUAAGCCUAUCGCGGGCAAAUAGAACUAUCUGACCUUUGCACCAGUUCUGACUGAAGCGAUUUUUAAUUUUUAUAAUUUUAAGAAACGGUACUAAUCUGCACAACAUUUGUUUUUCGAUUUCCGAUAAAUCUGCUAUCUUCUGAGGUACAGACAUUAGUUCCAUUUUAUUCCAGAAUGCCUGUGAUGGAACUUUGUGCUUCUUAAGAUGAUGUUGGCAACGAGAGCAUGUUAUUAUCUUCUCUAAUUCUAUUCGGUUUGCAGGAAUUAGACGAGACAAAGGCUACGUAUGCAAAGUGUAACGUUGCUGCAGACGGAUACACUGUACACGGUACAUCAGCAAAAAUAUUAAUAGCCGAUUUAAAGUAGUCUUCCUGGAGUUUGCGUAUAUUUGUUAAACGUGUAUUUUCUCAUUCGGUACGAUUUUUUAUGCGCAUUAGACGGUGUGAAUUAGACGUCCUUCGAUACAUUGAUUAGAUAAAUAUCUAUAGAUUAAUUUCAGCCUACGUGUAAUAAUAGGCCAAAUAUAGUAGAAUUCUGCUACAUUGAGUGAGAAGUGGGAAAUAAAGAACUAAAGAAAAUAAAAUAAAGAAUAAAGAAUAGUUCAUUAAUUGAUGGUAAAUGAGCAAUAGCAAACGUAAACGAUGAACAGAUUGAUUGGAAAAAGCUAUAGCUUGAAAUGAAUCAAUUGGUCACUGGUUAAGGGGGUAGACACGGGUAAUGCAGCGAGGUGACAAUCUCUCUCUUCAAUUUCUCUAACGCGCCUAUGUCUAACAGUACAAUGUUUAAAAAACUAAUAUUUAGUGUGAUCUAUUACUCAUAUACAUGAUUUAUGUUAUAGAUUUAACUUUGGAGGAGAAAAAUACAUGGGUGUAAAUUAUUUAUAUCCCUACAUUUCAACAGAAUACUCGGAUUAUUUUCUGUAUGAAAUACGUUCAGAAGAACUUUUCCUUGUGCAUACUUCCACUUCAGUUGCUCGGAGUUUCUUGGUGUGUUAUCUGUACAUUGGAAUGUUUUAUUGAAAACCGUGCAGUCUAUUAUUGUGCGUCUUUGAACUGUUUCAUUAACGGCAACCUAUUGCAAAAUAACUUCAAUGCAAUCAAAAGAACUGAUUGGACGGUGAAGUUUUAAUAGCUGUACAUAAUCGAUGAUUUACGAAUUCAAGCAAUAAGAUCACCACUGAAAUAUUUCACUGAGAAUACCAAGACUUUCACAAAAAAGUUGUGUAAAAAUUUUUCAAAACCAUCAACAGCAUCACAACAUUCAGAAGAUAUUGAAACAUAAAUCUGACCAAGCACAGAAGAUGAUGGCAAAAAUAAAUUGUUGUGAUGCACCGAUCGCGGCGAGACACUGCACACUGAGAGGUGGAUGCGUGAAUGAAGAAUACUGCAUUGCAAGGGAGAGAGUAAGCUGAGGCGAUGGAGGAAACUUUCGUACCUGUUUAUCGGGAUUCCCUGCUAUGCGCGAACCGUCCCUCCAACGUUUGGGGAAUCCUGAGGAUGAACAUUCACCCUGGUCACGCGUGCGGACGUGAUGUAUUCAUAAGUAGCUUGUUUCACGUGUAGCAUCUGCAUAAUGAUCGCGGCAAGAUCAACGAGAAGACCGCUAUAGGGUCAAGUUGGCUGACCGAUCGAACCGGAAAUGCGAAUGAGAUCCUCUUGUGAUGCCGUCAGCGACUUCCAACGUUAUCGAGAUAGAAUUCGGUAUUGGAGAGGUAUUCGUUGGAAGAGGUGCAAAUUGUUUCGAAGAAAUGCUUAGCAAUUUUCUUUUUAUUUUGGAAUUUACUUGAAAUGAAAGGAUAGAGGCCUUCGAGGCAAAGACAUUGGCGUAACUAAGAUUGUUGUAUAUACCUCGGUAUAGUGAUUAAUCAGUGACACUGUUGCAAAACACGGAAAAAUAAGAUUCACAACCAAAUGCAGCAAUUGGUGUAUGAAAUCAUCGAUGACUAUAAUUUUUUUCUGCGCACAAUUGUUUUUAUUUUAUUUUAUAUAUUCCGAUACUUCCAUGGACAAAGAAAAUAGUACAUAUGGUGGACUAUUGUAAAAGAUUAUUGAAUGGGUAAUCGGUAAUGGAAGAUAUCAAUUCGUUCAAAUUGUCUUCGCCUACGACAUGGAUCAUUAAUUCUAUGCUGGUACCGUGAUCUGACGCGCAAAGAAACAUUUUUAUUAUCAUUAGUACAGGCUGCGCAAAUGCACAGGAAUUUUCCUGCUAGAGGUCAUCGUACAAGGAAGUGAACGGAAACUCGAUCUUCCAAUGAACUCGAUAGAAGUUGCAUUCGCGAAAGAGGACAGAGAAAGCAGAAAGCAGAAGUAUUACGCGAUCGUUGCACAAACGGAAGAGAGACAUUAUUGAAUCAGAAAAGAAAAAGACAGCAAACUGCUUUGAUAUAUCACCGAUAUCAGAUGAAGAUUCAAUUAUGAAGCCUUUGGUGGCGUCACAUGUUAAUUAUAAAUUAAUUGCAGAAUAAAUCACAUCUAAAAA